UUACGGAAGGUCCGGGCGUUAUCCGGAUUUAUUGGGUUUAAAGGGAGCGCUGGCGGAGAUGCAAGCGUGACGUCAAAUUUCGGGGCUCAACCCCGUCUCGCGUCGCGAACUGCGUCCCUUGGUUGCGGGAAGGGGAGGCGGAACUCGUGGUGUAGCGGUGAAAUGCAUAGAUAUCACGAAGAACUCCGAUCGCGAAGGCAGCCUUCCCGCCGGUCAACGACGAUCAUGCUCGAAGGUGCGGGUAUCAAACAGGAUUAGAUACCCUGGUAGUCCGCACAGUAAACGAUGGACACCCGCGGUUUGGCCUGUAUGGCUGAGCCGCCAAGCGAAAGCGUUAAGUGUCCCACCUGGGGAGUACGCCGGCAACGGUGAAACUCAAAUGAAUUGACGGGG
rnacentral:rRNA from 1 species